AGAUGGGGUCUCGCUACAUUGACCAAGCUGGUCUCAAAAUCCUGGCCUGAAGCAAUCCUCCCGCCUCAGACUCCCAAGGUGCUGUGAUGACACGUGGUAGGAUACUGCUCCAUUGCAUGGCUGUGCCACGUUUUCUUCACCCAUUCACUUCACCCGUGGGUGGACAUGUGGGCGCUUGCAUGUUUUCACUGCUGAUCUGGCAGCCUUGGCCCAAGCAAUCCCAGUGGGCGCAUCUUGGGAGCUGACUUUGGGGCCACCUUUCCCCAUGCUGCCUGGGGACCAGAGAACACUGACCGCGGGAAAGACCGAUGCUGCCGAGGCCAGGAGGAGGGGGAGGCCGUCAUCUGUGGGUCCCCAGCAGCGCUUGGGGUCCUGGCCACUCCAGCGGCCCCUUGCACCUGCCUCCAGGGAUCCUUUGUCUUCAAAAUAACCUCCCUCCACCUUCCGGCUCAUAGUGCCUUGGGUGGAUCUGUUCCCAUUUCCCACAAGCCUGCAGGGUGGUGACAGGCCCUCAUUCCCAUGUGCCCCAAGAUUUCGGAUUCCAAAAAUACAUCCCCUGGCUCCCCGGAGAAGUGUGUCACGGUGUCUCCGUUUCACCACUGACAGGGCCAAAGGAUGUGCUCUCCUCUCCCGAGCUGCCAUGGUCAAGGGCUCACCUAGAUAACCCAGGACAGUCCCCUCAUCUCACAAUGACGCCCCCAGUCGGGCUGCCGAGACCGUGCCUGCUGAGCCUAACAUUCCAAGGUUCCAGGAGCUGGGGUGUGGACGGACCUGGGGCCUGCCAUGCCCUCCAAGUGCUGCCCUGCCCCUUGAAGGCCAGGCCAGGUGAG
rnacentral:lncRNA from 1 species